GAUGAACGCUAGCUACAGGCUUAACACAUGCAAGUCGAGGGGAAACGAUAUUGGAAGCUUGCUUCCGAUAGGCGUCGACCGGCGCACGGGUGAGUAACGUGUAUCCAACCUGCCCACCACUUGGGGAUAACCUUGCGAAAGUAAGACUAAUACCCAAUGAUAUCUCAAGAAGACAUCUGAAUGAGAUUAAAGAUUUAUCGGUGAUGGAUGGGGAUGCGUCUGAUUAGCUUGUUGGCGGGGUAACGGCCCACCAAGGCGACGAUCAGGAGGGGUUCUGAGAGGAAGGUCCCCCACAUUGGACCUGAGACACGGUCCAAACUCCUACGGGAGGCAGCAGUGAGGAAUAUUGGUCAAUGGGCGAGAGCCUGAACCAGCCAAGUAGCGUGCAGGAUGACGGCCCUAUGGGUUGUAAACUGCUUUUAUAAGGGAAUAAAGUGAGCCUCGUGAGGCUUUUUGCAUGUACCUUAUGAAUAAGGACCGGCUAAUUCCGUGCCAGCAGCCGCCGUAA
rnacentral:rRNA from 1 species